GCACUCGUAGCUCAGCUGGAUAGAGCAAUCGCCUUCUAAGCGAUAGGUCGAAGGUUCGAAUCCUUCCGAGUGCGCCA
rnacentral:tRNA from 1 species